UUUAUGUAUGACAUCGUUGACUUUUAGAAUCACAUUUGACCAUUCGUUUUAUUCAAAAUUUAUAUCUAAAUAUGUAAAAUUAUAAUGCAUAAUUAAAGUUUCUAUAAUAAUAAAUCAUAUUAUAAAAAAUAAUUAAUAAUUAUAUAAUUUUUUUAAUAAGAUAAAUGGUCAAACGUAGACCUAAAAGUCAACUGUGUCAUAUAAAAAAAAUGUAAAGGGAAUACUAUGAUAUUCAAAAUCUACCUUAGCAAUGCAGAAGGAUGAAUUUGGUGCAUGCAAAGGAUAUGAAAAUGAUGAGAUUAAAGAGGGAAAGAACACAACUUCUGCUAAACAAAGCAAUAGUAAAUGAGACACAUCUAUUAUAUAUAUAUAAAGUAAUAGGAAAAGAAGGUUUCACGUUUACUCUCACGGGCUAGAAAUUAUCACGUUAAUCGGAGAAAAAGAAAAAAAUAUGAACCAUUAUAUCACGGUGGGUCUAGAUUAUAACGGUGUAGUGUAGAUAAAUCGGAGAAAAAAAAAUGAACCGUUAGAUCACGAUGGGUCCAGAUUAUAACGGUGUAGAUAAAU
rnacentral:lncRNA from 1 species